rnacentral:rRNA from 1 species
ACUAACAAGGAUUCCCCUAGUAACGGCGAGUGAAGCGGGAAGAGCCCAACUUUGAAAUCUGGCGCCUCUGGCGUCCGAGUUGUAGUCUCGAGAAGCAAUGCCCGUGCCGGUCCACACCAAGGCUGUUCGGAUGCAGCGUCAUAGAGGGUGUCAACCCCGUUUGCAGUGUGGCCGCCCGGUACACCAGCGGCAUGCUCUCCACGAGUCGAGUUGUUUGGGAAUGCAG